UCCCAGUUCGGAUUGCAGGCUGCAACCCGCCUGCAUGAAGUUGGAAUCGCUAGUAAUCGCGGAUCAGCAUGCCGCGGUGAAUACGUUCCCGGGCCUUGUACACACCGCCCGUCACACCAUGAGAGUCGGGAACACCCGAAGUCCGUAGCCUAACCGCGAAGGGGGGCGCGGCCGAAGGUGGGUUCGAUAAUUGGGGUGAAGUCGUAACAAGGUAGC
rnacentral:rRNA from 1 species